rnacentral:sRNA from 1 species
CUCGCUUGAAAACACGCUGAUCGUGGAUCCUGCGUCCGGCACGGGCGCCUCAUCCACCCUGUGCCGCACACCGACCCGCCCGGUUGUCCCCCCGGGCGGGUC